rnacentral:rRNA from 1 species
GACGAACGCUGGCGGCGUGCCUAACACAUGCAAGUCGAGCGAAGUGCUUUAAGCGGAAUCUUCGGAGGAAGCUUAAAGUAUCUUAGCGGCGGACGGGUGAGUAAUGCGUGAGGAACCUGCCUUUCACAAGGGGAUAGCCUCGGGAAACUGGGAUUAAUACCCUAUGACACCUAAGUAUCGCAUGAUACUUAGGUUAAAGCGCAAAGCGGUGGAAGAUGGCCUCACGUCCCAUUAGCUAGUUGGUGAGGUAAAGGCUCACCAAGGCAACGAUGGGUAGCCGGCCUGAGAGGGUGACCGGCCACACUGGAACUGAGACACGGUCCAGACUCCUACGGGAGGCAGCAGUGGGGAAUAUUGCACAAUGGGCGAAAGCCUGAUGCAGCGACGCCGCGUGAGCGAAGAAGGCCUUCGGGUCGUAAAGCUCUGUCCUAUGGGACGAUAAUGACGGUACCAUAGGAGGAAGCCCCGGCUAACUACGUG